rnacentral:rRNA from 1 species
UACGGGGGGAGCAAGCGUUGUUCGGAUUUACUGGGCGUAAAGGGCGCGUAGGCGGCCACCGCAAGUCGACUGUGAAAUCUCUGAGCUUAACUCAGAACGGCCAAGUGAUACUGCUGUGCUAGAGUGCAGAAGGGGCAAUCGGAAUUCUUGGUGUAGCGGUGAAAUGCGUAGAUAUCAAGAGGAACACCUGAGGUGAAGACGGGUUGCUGGGCUGACACUGACGCUGAUGCGCGAAAGCCAGGGAGCGAACGGG